GUGCAAUAAGGAGGAGGGCUGAAGUUUAGCAUUUUUUGCUAGGAUGAGAUUAAUCAAGGUAAGAAGGAGCAAUAUCAUCUCACAUAUCUGAAUGAAUAUCACCACCCAAAUUUCUAUGAGGUCCUCAAGAAUGAUCCACUCAUGUUCCAGGCAUCCAAUAUGAGAUUUAAUUAGGUAACAGAGCCUUCACCCAGGCCAGACUUAUGCUCAUAGCAGUCAGGUUUCCAGGAACCUAGAGAAGAGGCAAGUGGUCUUCUAGAGGGCAUGGGUGAAAUUUUUGUAAAACAACAGCAAAAGCUUUAAGACCAACUAACAACAGGAGAAAUUUGUAUAUUUGCAUCCUUCCUUUGUAUGAGUAGUGUACCACUGAGCACACACUAAGAUACCCAGAUUGUGCUCUGUCUGGAAAGCCUUGGUUAUUUCUGCUUUAUUAAUUAAGGAUUUUUCACAGUGCAAGAAUUUUAUAUGAUUUCUCAUCUCUCUGAUCUAUGUAUCUUUUGGACAUGCGCCACAAGCAUUUUUCUCUCCCUGGACUGGGUAAAGAAGCACAAAUGCAGAGUCUACAUUGUGCUUUGAAAAUAGAUGAAACUACUGGCCAUUCAUUUGCGCAAGUUAAUGGGUCAGCUGUUACUCAUCAACAGAGGCAAGGGUGGGACUAUAUAAGCCCGAUCAGACCAGCUAUGUAAGUUGAUGUCACUGUUGGGAAGACCUAGCUGUGAGUCACCAAACCAUGAUUUCUCCUUCAGAACACUGGACUGUCAGCUCUACACUACAGCGAAUGAGAUACAAGUCUCGUUGCCAGAUACAUCCAUCCGUGUGCUGCCACAAAGCAAGGCUCUUACAGUAUUGAAUUCCCACAGGUGGCAUUCCCCCACAUUUACCUCUUUUGCAGAAGACACUGCAGUUUCAAGGAGCCAGCCCAUGAGGACUUACCAUUCACUAAAUAUUGUGUCUGCAUGAUGAAGGCACUGCAUAAAAACACCAGGGGACGGAUGCAAACAAUGUGCUGGUGAGAGUGACAAUAAAACAGAGAUGACAGCAUAAAGAGAGAAUGAUGAAUGUGUUAACACAGCUGGUGAUUUCUCUAAGCAGCUCAGAACUGCUGUCAGAAUUGUUGAAACCUGCCAGAAUUUUUUUUCUUCUUUUCUUCCCAAACACCUCCAGAGACUGAGAAUUCUCCUCCUCUACUGCAUUCUGCUUUGUAUCUAUCUUGAAUUACUCUAUUUUGUAUUAGUUUAGAUUUAAAGGUCCAAUUUCUCUUAUCUAUCAAGGAUGAGAAAAACAGAGGAAUUGAGGCUGUUAUUAUAUGAAAAACUGGCAUUAAUGUAACAGACUGAUUUAUUAAAAAUGGUGUUCCUAAACAGUUGAAAGAUGCUAGUCUAUAAAAGAAAGUUACAAUUUUUUUUGUUUAAAUCUUGAUUUUCAUUUCAAAAGAUUAAUAACAAUAAAUCUAUUGAAGUUACAUAGUUUUUAAUAAUGGCUGCCUGCCCAGGAUUAGUCUCUAAAACUGUUGUUUUUCAACAGUUGAACCAGCAAAGAUGAAAAACCAAUUGACUAUAGUAGGUUUUAUGUUGGGCCCUUAGAUGUAAACAGGUCUACAUAAUUUUAUUCUAUUGCUUGUUAGCACUCUCAUGUUUCACCUCUUAUGGUUGCUCAAUGAGUGGUUCUUUUAAAAACCUUUCUCUUUAUGUCAUUAUUUUCCACGGAGUAAUAUUAGAGAUGUAGAGAUCCCUGAUUGCCUUUUUCAAAAUACAUGUCAUGUACUUGAAGUAUUUGUUUGAUAUUGAAUGGAACACAGCAGCACUACUUAGAAAUCCUGGAGAAGAACUGAAGGACACCAAUUUCUUGUGAUGCUAUUAGCAGCUUUUAGAGAGAUUACUCAAAGAGGAAGAAAAAAUUACCAAACUAAACCCUAUGGCAGAUGCCUACGCACAAAUUAGGCAAAACUUGCUGUGACAGUUUCCGGAUUGCUGAAUGAUUUUCAGGGCUGUAGAGUUAUGUUUUAUGUUUUCCCUCACAAACAACAUUUUUAAUAUUGUAGGUCAAAGUGUCAGCGGUCAGUGGCAUUUGUUUGUUAGCAGUGAUUCAGUAGACAAACUCGGCUUGAUGAGUCAUUAGUGAGGGAUAUCAUAUUUACACAAAAUCGCUUGGCUGAAACCAUCAGUCCGAGAGAUUAAAACUAGGCAUUAAUCACCUGUAAGGCUAAGCAUGAGCCUGAAAAAUAGCCUGAAAAACACCAGAAUUUGUGUAUUACAGCAUGAAUGGAGGUUUCAGAAUACUAGUCAUAAAGGAUUACUCUACACAGGAAAAUGUUUGUCUUGGAGACUUUUUUAUUGACCUGUGAUAUGCUUUUGGUUUGAAAGACGUGUUAAACAAAGAAAGCUCCAGUCUUUCAAAACUCUCACAGCUCUAUAAAUAACUCCACAUAAAAUGUACAGUAUGUAUAAACAGCAUGACAAAGAUUUUCUGACAGGAUUUUCUCUACGGUAAAAAAGUGAAGUCAAAACAUCCCAUUGAAGGCUGCUAUUUUGAAGAAUUCCUGAGAACACAAGUGCUUACGAGCUGGCAAACUCUCCAUGAGUGAGAGUGAGUACAAACAAUGAACUUCUAUGAGACUGUAGCCAUUCCAUCAAGAUCUAAAUGCAGCUUGAAUGGACCUUAGCCAAGAAGCGUCUGCUCAGCAUUUAGUAAAGCUUCAGCUAAGGGAACCACAGAAAAAAAUCCAAACUGUUCCUGCAGUAAAACUAUCUGCCAGCAACAUUUUUGAGAGUUCACCAUCUGGGUCCUGCAGGUAUCAAUCAGACUCAAUGUGUCACUCCAGCUGUCCUUCAAGGCUCCUCAUGGUCAAGGUAGAGCAGUUUUGAGAAAAUAAAACACAAAAACUGAGAGAGCACAAAGAGCUGUUGAAAGCUUGAAUAAGUCAGGGGGCAAAAAACUCACAAAUAUUAAAAGACACUCAAUUGCUUCAUUACAGCAUUCAGAUUGACCACUUGCAUGUCUGAAAUUACCCAUUUUCCAUACUACAUAUUAAUAUUUUCUUUUAACAUUCUGUUUUAGUGGAUUUGGGGUUGUUUUAUAAAUGCAUGCACAAGUCCCUUUUACUUUUGUGGGAAAUUAAUCCACAAAAAACAGGUCUUUAAGUUCAUUUUCUACAGGUUAAUGUGUAAGAGCUCUAGACUGGCUCUUACUGUCACUAGUAGUGGAGAUUUUGACUGGAGGUAAACUCUGAAAGAGUCUGCCAUUGUGAAUCUCCCACCUGACUGAAAAUUAAGGUCUUUAAAAUAUGUGUGCAUGGUUGGAAAGAUUCCUUUGGAAAUGGAAAUAAGUAGUAGCUUGUACAGGAAAUGAGACAGGAAAGUUGAUAUGUGGUAGGAAUUUCAGAAGAGGUAGGAACAGUUAUUGAAUUGGCAGUUUAAUAUCUAUAAGCAAACAAAAAUAGAGGGAAGGUAGAACUAGAGAGGCAAGAAGCUGAUGGUUGAAAUAGCAAAUCUAACAUUCUGAGUUGAGUGUAUUCAAAUGUAGACAGUCAGAAAUAGAAGCCAGAACCAUAAGUAGGGCUUUGAAAAUUUAGGGAGAAAAAAAGUUACUUGAUUUAGUAAACUUGGGAAACCAGAUAAAAAUUUCAGCAACAGAAGUGGAAAGCUGAACAGGCAAGGAAAUUAAUGGAUUUCUGCUGCAUUUUUCACACGGAAUUACAGGGGAAUAAAGCAGGUUUUCCGUCCAAAUAUGGUUGUUUGCUUUUUCUAUCUAUGUUACCUUGCAAAAGACCUCCAAUAUUUCUUACACACUUUUAGGAUGUUUCAAAUGCCUGUGUGGUGAAGACACUUUUGUUUGAUUUUUUUUUGUUCGUUUUUAAAUAGUUGGCUUUGCUUUAUCAAUGGCUUUAAUAAAACAUACGUAUUGGCAUCCAAGGUUUGUUUUAAUGUACAAUUUAGAUGCAAUCAUCUCUGUAUGAUGGCUUUACUUAAUGUCCAACUAUAAAUAAUCUUGGCCUGGAGCAGAUAAAAAGUGUUCUGUAGAAAUAAAAAUAAAAUCAUGAGUA